UACGGAGGAUGCAAGCGUUAUCCGGAAUGACUGGGCGUAAAGGGUGCGCAGGUGGCAAUGUGUGUCUGCUGUCAAAGAAUGAGGCUUAACCUCAUCAAGGCAGUGGAAACUACAUAGCUAGAGUACGGUCGGGGUAGAAGGAAUUCCUGGUGUAGCGGUGAAAUGCGUAGAGAUCGGGAGGAACACCAGUGGCGAAGGCGACUUUCUGGCCUGUUCUUGACGCUGAGGCGCGAAAGCCAGGGGAGCGAACGGG
rnacentral:rRNA from 1 species